AGUGAACGCUGGCGGUAUGCCUAACACAUGCAAGUCGAACGGCAGCACAGGAGAGCUUGCUCUCUGGGUGGCGAGUGGCGGGCGGGUGAGGAAUACAGCUGAAUCUGCUCAGUCGUUGGGGAUAACGUAGGGAAACUUACGCUAAUACCGCAUACGUCCUUCGGGGGAAAGAGGGGUAGCGCAAGACCGCUCUCGAGUGGAUUAGCCGAUGUCGGAUUAGCUAGUUGGCGGGGUAAUGGCUCACCAAGGCGACGAUCCGUAGCUGGUCUGAGAGGAUGAUCAGCCACACUGGAACUGAGACACGGUCCAGACUCCUACGGGAGGCAGCAGUGGGGAAUAUUGGACAAUGGGCGAAAGCCUGAUCGAGCCAUACCGCGUGGGUGAAGAAGGCCUUCGGGUUGUAAAGCCCUUUUGUUGGGAAAGAAAUCUUUCAGGCUAAUACACUGGGAGGAUGACGGUACCCAAAGAAUAAGCACCGGCUAACUUCGUG
rnacentral:rRNA from 1 species